rnacentral:lncRNA from 1 species
AUGAACCAAUAGAAGUUCCAAGAGUGUCUGUUAUAGGCCCUUGUUUUGCCCUCGGCCACAUCUCUAUCACAAAGGUAUAAAUAAUCAAAAUAUGAGAGGGAAUAAGGAAUUAAUUAACAUGAUAAAAGAGAAUAAGUUAAGUGUUUUACCAAAGUAGUUAAACACAUACAAAAAGCACUUGAAAUCAGAAAGCUUAAAUGGGUAGAUUAGCUUUGCUCAGAAUGUUGACCGAGAGAACCGAGAUUUGAUGUAGAGAGCGAUUCCUGAAACCUGAAAAGAGGAAAUAAGUGAUUCGUUUGAGCAAAUCAGUGAGACAAAUUUGAACAACAAAGUUGCAAAAUUUGACAAAGCACGGCACAUUAGACCAAUAAAGAUAAUGAAUCAAAUCUGCAAAAAUAAUUUGAACAUCAAAAGACAGAGAUGGAACUCUCAAAUGAAAAAGGGAGAAGGAAAAAGGAAAAAGGAGGAUAAGAAGAUGCAGCAACAGAGAGGGAAGGUACUACCGGUUGAAAAUUUGUGCUCUUACUCUGAUUUUAAAUGGAAAGAAAAGUGAUUGACUAUCAGUGGGAAGAAAAUCGUGUCAUCGGUUUCGAGAGAGGGUGGAGAAAAAGUCUGCUUUGAGUAAUAUAUAAUAUUGGAAGGAAGUGAUGGCCCUUUAU